AUUGAGCGCUGGCGGCAUGCCUUACACAUGCAAGUCGAACGGUAACAGGUUAAGCUGACGAGUGGCGAACGGGUGAGUAAUGUAUCGGAACGUGCCCAGUCGUGGGGGAUAACUACUCGAAAGAGUGGCUAAUACCGCAUACGACCUGAGGGUGAAAGCGGGGGACCGUAAGGCCUCGCGCGAUUGGAGCGGCCGAUAUCAGAUUAGCUAGUUGGUGGGGUAAAAGCCCACCAAGGCGACGAUCUGUAGCUGGUCUGAGAGGACGACCAGCCUCACUGGGACUGAGACACGGCCCAGACUCCUACGGGAGGCAGCAGUGGGGAAUUUUGGACAAUGGACGCAAGUCUGAUCCAGCCAUGCCGCGUGCGGGAAGAAGGCCUUCGGGUUGUAAACCGCUUUUGUCAGGGAAGAAACGAGUUUCUCUAAUACAGAGACUUAAUGACGGUACCUGAAGAAUAAGCACCGGCUAACUACGUGCCAGCCGCCGCGGUAAUAC
rnacentral:rRNA from 1 species